GAGUGGGUUCUUCAAUCUUCUCCUUCAUCAUCCUUCUUUAAGUCUUCUUUUUCAUUUUGAGGUGGAUUAUUCUUUAAUGUGAGAUCAUCCAUUUUGUUGGUCAAAAUUUCUGCAUCCUCAUCUAAAAUAUCUUCCUUUCUAAAAGACUUGUCAUUGGAUUCAUCAAAAACUACAUGGAUAAAUUUUUCAACAACAAGAGUUCUUUUAUUGAAGACUCUACAUGCUUUGCUAGAUAUAGAGUAUCUUAAAAAGAUACCCU
rnacentral:lncRNA from 1 species